GAUGAACGCUGGCGGCGUGCCUAAUACAUGCAAGUCGAGCGAACAGACGAGGAGCUUGCUCCUCUGACGUUAGCGGCGGACGGGUGAGUAACACGUGGAUAACCUACCUAUAAGACUGGGAUAACUUCGGGAAACCGGAGCUAAUACCGGAUAAUAUAUUGAACCGCAUGGUUCAAUAGUGAAAGACGGUUUUGCUGUCACUUAUAGAUGGAUCCGCGCCGCAUUAGCUAGUUGGUAAGGUAACGGCUUACCAAGGCAACGAUGCGUAGCCGACCUGAGAGGGUGAUCGGCCACACUGGAACUGAGACACGGUCCAGACUCCUACGGGAGGCAGCAGUAGGGAAUCUUCCGCAAUGGGCGAAAGCCUGACGGAGCAACGCCGCGUGAGUGAUGAAGGUCUUCGGAUCGUAAAACUCUGUUAUUAGGGAAGAACAAAUGUGUAAGUAACUAUGCGCGUCUUGACGGUACCUAAUCAGAAAGCCACGGCUAACUACGU
rnacentral:rRNA from 1 species